AGAAAUUUAGGUUAAUACCCAAACCAAAGACCUUCAAAGCCUUUAAUAGAAGUUAAAGUCUUCUAAUUUCUGUAGGGCUUGCAGACUAUU
rnacentral:tRNA from 1 species